CCCUAGCCCCGAUUGAAGAGAAAAUCCUUUUUUGAAAAAAAAGAUUGCAACGGAAAGCGGGAAAUAGC
rnacentral:sRNA from 1 species